rnacentral:ncRNA from 1 species
UUGGAAUGAGUACACUUUAAAAGCUUUAACGAGUAUCCAUUGGAGGGCAAGUCUGGUGCCAGCAGCCGCGGUAAUUCCAGCUCCAAAAGUAUAUAUUUAAGUUGUUGCGGUUAAAAAGCUCGUAGUUGGAUUUUGGGCGCAGGCGGCCGGUCCGUCGCAAGGCGUGUACUGGACGUCCUGGCCUUCCCUCCGGUUCUCCGCCGGUGCUCUUGACUGAGUGUCGGCGGCGGCCGGAACGUUUACUUUGAAAAAAUUAGAGUGUUCAAAGCAGGCUCUCGAGCCUGGAUAAUGGUGCAUGGAAUAAUGGAAUAGGACCUCGGUUCUAUUUUGUUGGUUUUCGGAGCGCGAGGUAAUGAUUAAGAGGGACAGACGGGGGCAUUCGUACUGUGCCGUUAGAGGUGAAAUUCUUGGAUCGGCGCAAGACGAACGACUGCGAAAGCAUUUGCCAAGAAUGUUUUCUUUAAUCAAGAGCGAAAGUCAGAGGUUCGAAGACGAUCAGAUACCGUCCUAGUUCUGACUAUAAACGAUGCCAACUAGCGAUCGGGGGGCGUUACAUUGACGACCCCUCCGGCAGCUUACGGGAAACCAAAGUCUUUGGGUUCCGGGGGAAGUAUGGUUGCAAAGCUGAAACUUAAAGGAAUUGACGGAAGGGCACCACCAGGAGUGGAGCCUGCGGCUAAAUUUGACUCAACACGGGAAAUCUCACCCGGCCCGGACACAGUGAGGAUUGACAGAUUGAGAGCUCUUUCUUGAUUCU